rnacentral:rRNA from 1 species
UACGGAGGGGGCUAGCGUUGUUCGGAAUUACUGGGCGUAAAGCGCACGUAGGCGGCUUUGUAAGUUAGAGGUGAAAGCCCGGGGCUCAACUCCGGAAUUGCCUUUAAGACUGCACCGCUAGAAUUGUGGAGAGGUAAGUGGAAUUCCGAGUGUAGAGGUGAAAUUCGUAGAUAUUCGGAAGAACACCAGUGGCGAAGGCGACUUACUGGACACAUAUUGACGCUGAGGUGCGAAAGCGUGGGGAGCAAACAGG